rnacentral:rRNA from 1 species
AUGUUCAUGGUAGAGGGGAAGAUGCCGCCUGAAUCCUUUAAUUUGUCUUGUUGCUGUUCUGCCGGCUCGCCGCCUCGUGUGCUGCCUUUCUUCCUGCCAAGGUUCUGCCUUCCUUCUCUGACUUUCCAUUGUUUUGCUCAUUUCAUAAACAACAUUUUACUCGCUCUACCUGUGUGUUCUGUGUGUCGUGUUCUGUUUUCGUUAUUAUUUUCUUCUCAUGCUUGCUCUCCUUCUAGCUUAUUUUGUGCAUGGAUUCUGGAAACGACCAAGGACAAGCAACUCAAGCGAAAGAUUGCUUCACUUAAUCCGGCGAUAUGUUAUUCUUCUGAAACAUGCUAA